GUUUAUCUCUCUCUAUAUAUAUACACUCUUUGCAUGUUGUGCUGUUCGUUUAUCUCUCUCUAUAUAUAUACACUCUUUGCAUGUUGUGCUGUUAGUUUAUCUCUCUCUAUAUAUAUACACUCUUUGCAUGUUGUGCUGUUAGUUUGUCUCUCUCUCUAUAUAUCCACUCUUUGCAUGUUGUGCUGUUAGUUUAUCUCUCUCUAUAUAUAUACACUCUUUGCAUGUUGUGCUGUUAGUUUAUCUCUCUCUAUAUAUAUACACUCUUUGCAUGUUGUGCUGUUAGUUUAUCUCUCUCUAUAUAUAUACACUCUUUGCAUGUUGUGCUGUUCGUUUAUCUCUCUCUAUAUAUAUACACUCUUUGCAUGUAGUGCUGUUCGUUUAUCUCUCUCUAUAUAUAUACACUCUUUGCAUGUUGUGCUGUUAGUUUAUCUCUCUCUAUAUAUAUACACUCUUUGCAUGUUGUGCUGUUAGUUUAUCUCUCUCUAUAUAUAUACACUCUUUGCAUGUUGUGCUGUUAGUUUAUCUCUCUCUAUAUAUAUACACUCUUUGCAUGUUGUGCUGUUAGUUUAUCUCUCUCUAUAUAUAUACACUCUUUGCAUGUUGUGCUGUUAGUUUAUCUCUCUCUAUAUAUAUACACUCUUUGCAUGUUGUGCUGUUAGUUUAUCUCUCUCUAUAUAUAUACACUCUUUGCAUGUUGUGCUGUUAGUUUAUCUCUCUCUAUAUAUAUACACUCUUUGCAUGUUGUGCUGUUAGUUUAUCUCUCUCUAUAUAUAUACACUCUUUGCAUGUUGUGCUGUUAGUUUAUCUCUCUCUAUAUAUAUACACUCUUUGCAUGUAGUGCUGUUAGUAUAUCUCUCUCUAUAUAUAUACACUCUUUGCAUGUUGUGCUGUUAGUUUAUCUCUCUCUAUAUAUAUACACUCUUUGCAUGUUGUGCUGUUAGUUUAUCUCUCUCUAUAUAUAUACACUCUUUGCAUGUUGUGCUGUUAGUUUAUCUCUCUCUAUAUAUAUGCCCUCUUUGCAUGUUGUGCUGUUAGUUUAUCUCUCUCUCUAUAUAUGCACUCUUUGCAUGUUGUGCUGUUAGUUUAUCUCUCUCUCUAUAUAUGCACUCUUUGCAUGUUGUGCUGUUAGUUUGUCUCUCUCUAUAUAUAUACACUCUUUGCAUGUUGUGCUAUU
rnacentral:lncRNA from 1 species